rnacentral:rRNA from 1 species
GGGUUGUGAGGUUAAGCGACUAAGCGUACACGGUGGAUGCCCUGGCAGUCAGAGGCGAUGAAGGGCGUGCUAAUCUGCGAUAAGCGCCGGUAAGGUGAUAUGAACCGUUAUAACCGGCGAUACCCGAAUGGGGAAACCCAGUGUGAUUCGUCACACUAUCAUUAACUGAAUCCAUAGGUUAAUGAGGCGAACCGGGGGAACUGAAACAUCUAAGUACCCCGAGGAAAAGAAAUCAACCGAGAUUCCCCCAGUAGCGGCGAGCGAACGGGGAGGAGCCCAGAGCCUGAAUCAGCAUGUGUGUUAGUGGAAGCGUCUGGAAAGGCGCGCGAUACAGGGUGACAGCCCCGUACACAAAAGCGCAUGUGCUGUGAGCUCGAUGAGUAGGGCGGGACACGUGGUAUCCUGUCUGAAUAUGGGGGGACCAUCCUCCAAGGCUAAAUACUCCUGACUGACCGAUAGUGAACCAGUACCGUGAGGGAAAGGCGAAAAGAACCCCGGCGAGGGGAGUGAAAAAGAACCUGAAACCGUGUACGUACAAGCAGUGGGAGCACAGGUUUACCUGUGUGACUGCGUACCUUUUGUAUAAUGGGUCAGCGACUUAUAUUCUGUAGCAAGGUUAACCGAAUAGGGGAGCCGGAGGGAAACCGAGUCUUAAUUGGGCGUUAAGUUGCAGGGUAUAGACCCGAAACCCGGUGAUCUAGCCAUGGGCAGGUUGAAGGUUGGGUAACACUAACUGGAGGACCGAACCGACUAAUGUUGAAAAAUUAGCGGAUGACCUGUGGCUGGGGGUGAAAGGCCAAUCAAACCGGGAGAUAGCUGGUUCUCCCCGAAAGCUAUUUAGGUAGCGCCUCGUGAAUUCAUCUCCGGGGGUAGAGCACUGUUUCGGCUAGGGGGCCAUCCCGGCUUACCAACCCGAUGCAAACUGCGAAUACCGGAGAAUGUUAUCACGGGAGACACACGGCGGGUGCUAACGUCCGUCGUGAAGAGGGAAACAACCCAGACCGCCAGCUAAGGUCCCAAAGUCAUGGUUAAGUGGGAAACGAUGUGGGAAGGCCCAGACAGCCAGGAUGUUGGCUUAGAAGCAGCCAUCAUUUAAAGAAAGCGUAAUAGCUCACUGGUCGAGUCGGCCUGCGCGGAAGAUGUAACGGGGCUAAACCAUGCACCGAAGCUGCGGCAGCGACACUGUGUGUUGUUGGGUAGGGGAGCGUUCUGUAAGCCUGUGAAGGUGUGUCGUGAGGCAUGCUGGAGGUAUCAGAAGUGCGAAUGCUGACAUAAGUAACGAUAAAGCGGGUGAAAAGCCCGCUCGCCGGAAGACCAAGGGUUCCUGUCCAACGUUAAUCGGGGCAGGGUGAGUCGACCCCUAAGGCGAGGCCGAAAGGCGUAGUCGAUGGGAAACGGGUUAAUAUUCCCGUACUUGGUGUUACUGCGAAGGGGGGACGGAGAAGGCUAUGUUGGCCGGGCGACGGUUGUCCCGGUUUAAGCGUGUAGGUGUGUGUUCCAGGUAAAUCCGGUUCACUUUAACACUGAGGCGUGACGACGAGGCACUACGGUGCUGAAGCAACAAAUGCCCUGCUUCCAGGAAAAGCCUCUAAGCAUCAGGUAACAUCAAAUCGUACCCCAAACCGACACAGGUGGUCAGGUAGAGAAUACCAAGGCGCUUGAGAGAACUCGGGUGAAGGAACUAGGCAAAAUGGUGCCGUAA